GAGGGUAUAGCUCAAAUGGUAGAGCACAUGCUUAGCAUGCACGAGGUCCUGGGGUCAAUCCCAAGUACCUCCU
rnacentral:tRNA from 1 species